rnacentral:tRNA from 1 species
GAAGGUAUAGCUUAAGUGGUAGAGCACAUGCCUAGCAUGCAUGAGGUCCUGGAUUCAAUCCCUGGUACCUCCU